rnacentral:rRNA from 1 species
GAUGAACGCUGGCGGCGUGCCUAAUACAUGCAAGUCGAGCGAACGGGCGAGAAGCUUGCUUCUCUGAUGUUAGCGGCGGACGGGUGAGUAACACGUGGAUAACCUACCUAUAGACUGGGAUAACUUCGGGAAACCGGAGCUAAUACCGGAUAAUAUUUUGAACCGCAUGGUUCAAAAGUGAAAGACGGUCUUGCUGUCACUUAUAGAUGGAUCCGCGCUGCAUUAGCUAGUUGGUAAGGUAACGGCUUACCAAGGCAACGAUGCAUAGCCGACCUGAGAGGGUGAUCGGCCACACUGGAACUGAGACACGGUCCAGACUCCUACGGGAGGCAGCAGUAGGGAAUCUUCCGCAAUGGGCGAAAGCCUGACGGAGCAACGCCGCGUGAGUGAUGAAGGUCUUCGGAUCGUAAAACUCUGUUAUUAGGGAAGAACAUAUGUGUAAGUAACUGUGCACAUCUUGACGGUACCUAAUCAGAAAGCCACGGCUAACUACGUG